AACCUCCGCAAUGUGAGAAAUCGCGACGGGGGGAUCCCAAGUGCCAUUCCUAACGGGAUGGCUUUUCAUUAGUGUAAAGAGCUUUUGGAAUAAGAGCUGGGCAAGACCGGUGCCAGCCGCCGCGGUAACACCGGCAGCUCUAGUGGUAACAAUUUUUAUUGGGCCUAAAGCGUCCGUAGCCGGUUUAAUAAGUCUCUGGUGAAAUCCUGUAGCUUAACUGUGGGAAUUGCUGGAGAUACUAUUAGACUUGAGACCGGGAGAGGUUAGAGGUACUCCCAGGGUAGAGGUGAAAUUCUGUAAUCCUGGGAGGACCGCCUGUUGCGAAGGCGUCUAACUGGAACGGUUCUGACGGUGAGGGACGAAAGUUAGGGGCGCGAACCGGAUUAGAUACCCGGGUAGUCCUAACUGUAAACGAUGCGGACUUGGUGUUGGGGUGGCUUUGAGCUGCUCCAGUGCCGAAGGGAAGCUGUUAAGUCCGCCGCCUGGGAAGUACGGUCGCAAGACUGAAACUUAAAAGGAUU
rnacentral:rRNA from 1 species